UUUUCCUUUUGUCUUUCUUCAUACAAAUCUUUUAACAUUUGUAGUUUUUUUUCUAAUUCAGCAAUCCUACUAUUUUUAGUUUCUUCUAUUUUUCGUAUUUCUUCUGUAGUUUGUUGUUUUAUUUUUUCUAUUUCUUUUUUCCUAUCUAUCUCUUCAUUUUCUUUUUCUAUUCUUACCAUUGCUGUUAAUUUAUCUUCUAAUUUUAAUUCUUCUUUUUCUAACAUUAGAUAUAAAUGUUCACCUAUUUUCUUAUAUCUUCGUCCUAGAUUAGAAAAUACUAUUUUUAUUUUUAAUCCUUCGUGAUUUUCAUAUA
rnacentral:lncRNA from 1 species